rnacentral:rRNA from 1 species
UACGUAGGGCGCAAGCGUUGUCCGGAAUUAUUGGGCGUAAAGAGCUCGUAGGCGGCUUGUCACGUCGGAUGUGAAAGCCCGGGGCUUAACCCCGGGCUUGCGGGCGAUACGGGCAGGCUAGAGUUCGGUAGGGGAGACUGGAAUUCCUGGUGUAGCGGUGAAAUGCGCAGAUAUCAGGAAGAACACCAAUGGCGAAAGCAGCUCUCUGGGACGGUACUGACGCUGAGACGCGAAAGCGUGGGGGAGCGAACAGG